rnacentral:rRNA from 1 species
AUUGAACGCUGGCGGCAGGCCUAACACAUGCAAGUCGAGCGGAGCGGCGAACGGGUGAGUAAUGCCUAGGAAUCUGCCUGGUAGUGGGGGAUAAAGUCCGGAAACGGGCGUUAAUACCGCAUACUAUCAGAUGAGCCUAGGUCGGAUUAGCUAGUUUGGAGGGUAAAGGCCUACCACGGUGACGAUCCGUAACUGGUCUGAGAGGAGUAUCAGUCACGCUGUAACUUGUACACGGUCCAUACGCCUACGGGAGGCAGCAGUGUGGCAUAUUGGACAAUUGUCGAAAGCCUGAUCCAGCCAUGCCGCGUGUGUGAAGAAUGUCUUCGGAUUUUAAAGCAAUUUAAGUUGGGAGGCGUUACCAACAGAAUAAGCACCGGCUAACUUCGUGCCAGCAGCCGCGGUAAUUC